rnacentral:tRNA from 1 species
GAGGGUAUAGCUCAAGUGGUAGAGAGCGCGCUUAGCAUGCAUGAGGUCCUGGGUUCAAUCCUCAGUAUCUCCA